CUCUCAGUUCGGAUAUAAUAUAAAAACCUAAUUGAGAUCAUAAUCUUAUACCCUAUUGACAUUUCUCUGAAACCCUAGCCACCAUGUUCCUCCUUCUUCAUUACGAUUCAACUCAAUAGCAACCGUGAUCCUCUUUUUUCUUAGUUGUUCUACGAUUCAAACCCUAAAUCGAUUUCCCCAUUCAUCUUUUUCAUAUAUACAAUCAAUGUCGUCGAUCAAUUGAAUGGUUGAAGAAAAUACUAGGUGCCUCUACUUUCAGUUUCUCUCUCAAAACCCUAGAUCAACGAGUGCAAGUUCGUGUUCUUCACUUUCAUAUUCAUCAAUCAAGAACAUAGAAGAAUGAAGGUGUGUUUGUGUGACGGCUGAAUCUGAUACAAUUUUAGGGUUACGCAUGAAGGAGAGGAGGAAGAAAGAUGAACUGUUAAGGGUCGUCUAACACAAAAGAUUUGGGUUUAAGAAUGAUUUUAGAGUUUCGCAUUGUAAUAGAAUUUAAAAAAAUUAUCAUUUGUUAGGUUCAAGAUUAUGUCAGCAUUGUAAUAGAAUUUAAAAAAAAAAAUUCAUCGUCAAGUUUGUUAGGUUCAAGAUUAUGUCGGCUGAUGUAGUUCUGAAUCUUUUUUACCUUUGCAAGAUUAUGAUUGGUCAUUGUUUUAAUUGUUGGGGGAGUUAAAACUUUAAUUGUUGGGGGAGUUAAAACUAAUCGAUUUUGAUAUAGUAAAAGAGGCUCGAGGUGCUGGUAUUGGAGUUAUAAAGAGUUUUAUAGUUAUUGUGAAGAACAACACACUCAAGAUUCAACUUUACUGGGCUGGAAAAGGCUCUACUGGAAUUCCAAUGAGAGGAAGUUAUGGUCCCAUUAUAUCAGCUAUAUCAGUUGACCCGAAAACAUGAAGAGCCAGGUUUUCUUUGAGUUUUGGGGUCAUUAUUACUAUGCCAUUACACCACGUUAUUCAUUUCUAAGUUCUAACACCUGAUCUCCUGCCACUAUAUCAUCAUCUAAUGGUGUGAAGACUGUGUAAAUAUGUUCUUGGUCACUCUGAUCCUAAUAUCCAACAUAAGUUAGAGCUAACUGUUUGCUCAUAGGAAAUGUAUUCAGAAAUAGUGCAACAAGAAAGGGGAUAUAACCUGUGAGAUUUGCAAUCAGGCAUGCAUGGGGCCCGCAAAUUGAUCUCCGGGAUGCUCACUUCUUGGCUUUUGUUUCUGAGAAUCAGUUUCUUGAACCGGAUUUUGAUGAUUACGGUGUAUGAAGUAAUAACAGCAUUGCGUACCUCCGGUUUAUGGCUCUCUUUGCUUUGCUGGUCACAAGAGACCUUCGGAUGUUGCCAGAAGGCUCGUAAGGAGACAAUUGUUAUAGAGGAGGGCUGCGGCGAAAGUUAGGGUUCUGAUGGGUGUGUCUAUGGCGGCUUAGCGGCCGUGGCAUCAACAAUCGGUAGCUUGGUGGUAUGUUUUGGUACUUUAAUUUUGUGUAUGGGUUUUGUUUUGGUGUUGUUUUUGGACUUUAGUUUUGUGGGUGGUUGGUUUAAGCUGAGGGUUGCUGGGUUGAGGAUUAUGGUGGUAUAUGUUUGAUUUUGGGAUUAAUAGUCAGUUUUCCGUUUUUUUUGGUUGAUUAAUUGUUAAACACUAUUCAAAUCCUAUUUGUUGUGCAAGAAUCGGGGUCUACUAUGAUGUUAUUCUAGGUCACAACCUCUUUGAUUACGGUUUGCGAUUUAUCAUUGACAAAUGUGUUCGGAUAAACGAUUUAUAAUUAGUUUUUCGUUUAUUCAAUCUUCUCUGUAAUCAGUUUAAUCUGUUCAUGCUUGUGAUGAUGAAAAUGGGGCGGUAGGGAGCCUUGAAGCGGUGGCAGUUCGUGGUGGUGGGUUAAAGCCGAAGAGGGGGAGAUGGGUGGAGAUUGUGCAGGUGCAUGGUUGCAUACCGAAGGUACAGAACUGCAGACAGAAAUGACAAGAAAGAAAGCCUGAGUCGUGAGUUCGUGACCCUGACUUAUCAACGGUCAUGAACCUUUUAGGGAUGAAAAAUGAUGUGGUUAAGGUGGCUGAUUUCGGUGUUGCAAGAGUGAAGGCUCAGACUGGUGUAAUGACAGCAGAAACCGGGACAUAUCGGUGGAUUUCUCCUGAGGUGGUUCAUUUGUGUCAAGCUUUCUAAUGUUGUUUAGUUUUAUAUAUUUUAGAUUAUGGUUGGAACUUGGAUGGGUUAAGUAACGGGUCAUAUGGGUUCGGGUUGAGAUACGUCAACUUUAGUACGCAUUGAAACGGGACGGGUCAUGUUUUGUUGAAUCCACAUUCACUUUUGGUCUAUUAAUUAUUAUUAUUUUUGAUACAUAUAUAAUUAUUUAUAUUCAGAUGUAUACUUAUAUUUAUAAUUUUAUAAUAAUAAAAUGAGUAUUAUUUUUGUCAUAUUUUUAUGAAGAAUAAUAUCUAUUAUGUAAUUAUACACCAUUAUAUAAAAUAUAAAUUUAUUACAUUUACAUAAUAACAGGCUCUCAAUCUCGAUAUGCAAUGCUCUUUAUUAAAUGAAGCUCUAAAUCAGGCUCAAGUUUGUACUACAUGUUUGUUCAAUGUAACAACUUCUUUAAUAUACUUAUAUAGAUGACACAUUAGCUAUUUAAUCUCUUUUAUAAAUCAAAAGGAUUGUCGAUAUUUCAUGUUACCCAACAUAUAACAUAUAACUGAUGCGUACAAUAUGUACAAGUCUUAUUCUACUUAUGGUCAUUUGAAGAAGUGUAAAACUGGUUUGGUGGGAAAUGCUUAUUAUAUUGUUGGAUGUGUUUAUUAUAAUGUUAAUGUUCACUGCAUGCUUUGUGCAGAUACCAAGACAGGUACGUGCACCCUCUUACAUUUCCCAUUUUUUAAACUUGAUUCUCCACUAAUGCCGUUGAAACUUCAUGUUUAUAUAUGUGUGGCAGUGAUGGACAUAGAUUUAUGUAAUAAUAUUUUGUGGAUUGUAUAUGAACAGGGAAGUAUUAGUAUAUUGAUGCUAUGCUAGAAGGAGACCGUGUGAUAGUGGACAUAGAUUCACAUCAGAGUUUGAAAUUGCAAGAUCCACCAAAAGCUACAGAACGGUUCUUUAAAUGCUUCCUCAUAUAACUGUGAUAUGACCCGAUCGUCGGCAGAAUAUCCUCAACAUAGUUUCUGAUGCUGCAAAACAGAGCUUAAAGAAGAAAGGAAUGCCUCUGUCCCCUUAGUGAAGAGCCGAUUAUGUUAAAGACUUAAAGCUAAAUGGCUCUCUCCUUGCAAUCGAAUGCUCAACAAUCCGACUAAUGAUAAGAAUAACCAAUCUUUUACUGAAAUUGCAAGCAAAUCUAACCAGAUUCCAGACGCGAAAGACCUGAUUUUGAUGGAUGAGUUUGAAGAUAUUGGAGGAGGUAUAGAGGAAGCUAUGAAACAUUGGGAGCUAUUAGAGAUUAAACCAAAGGUACCAAAGAUUAGAAGUAAAGUGGUUAGUUGUGUAGCUUCUGUGAUCGAAGGCAAAUGAUAAUGGUGGUAGGGUUAAGUUGAUCUAAGUUCAAGUCCAAAUCCAUUUUACAAUUUGUGGUUCUUGAUUUUCUUGCCUAAAAUUUUGAAAAUGGAACCCAAAUCACUAAAAUGAUUUGGAUAAAAUGGGAUUUAGAUUAACUAGACCCCUAACAUUUUGGUAUUUUGAUUAUUUUCCUUUUUUUAGUCAUCUUACCACCAGGAAAAAAAUACAAUGAUCUUGGUGUGAGAGUUUUUUUUUUAGCCAGUCUCGUGGUCUACCAGGGGGAGUAAGGUUUUGGAACUUUGGCUAUUUUCCAUUUUUGUUGUUUUUUUUUUAAUUUUUUUGAGUCAUCUUAGCACCAAGAAAAAAAUACAAUAAGCUUGGUGUGUGAGUUUUUUUUAGCCAGUCUCGUGGUCUACCAGGGGGAGUUUGUGUGAGUUUUUACAUGUGUUGUUUGGGAGGCUGGUUAAGGGUUUCAUGUCAAUGAAUGAGUGGUAGGCUACAAUCUUCUUUUCGGGUUUUCUUACAUGGCGUGAGUUUUUGUUCUUAGUAGGUUGUGUAUUUUUUUCUACAGUUUCUAUAAUAAUUAUGGGGCGUGGGGAUAGUGGGUAAAUCUGUCUUGGUGCUUCGGUGCAUGGCACAAAGUCUCAGGCCUGUUUGUCUGUGUGGAUGAAAAGCGCUUUGUGCAUGGCGCAAAGUCUUAGCCUAUUUGGUAUGCUAGAGUUUUUGGCUGGUUUUUGAAGAUGAUUCAGAAGACUACAAGUGAAAAAUUAACUUGUGGAUGACAAGAUGGUAGACCUCAUGGAUGCUCAUAAGUUUGACUGUUUUUUUUAGAUUAUAUGGAUCUUAGUUGAUUCAAAUUUGACGCUGAGAAGUAAAAAAGGGAAAAGAAGGGGGGGGGGGGGGGGGUCUCUAUGUAAUUGUUUUUCUCCAAUUUUUUGUUUUAGUUUUUGCCCCGUGAGUAAAUUGGAUGGCUUGGUAACAUACUGUUUUUUAUGAACCCAAUGUAAGUUACCCUUUAUAACUGAACAUUCCUUAGAUGUGGUUAUAUGUUAAAUGGUGGUCCUCAUGCUGAUGGAGAUUUUAACAAUACUAUAGUCAGUAUAUAUUUUUUAAAUGUUUA